GGCUUUCUGAAAUAUAUUAAUCGAAGGUCUGGCCUGCYCGGUGGAGGAMGUCUCAACGGUCGCAGCUCCAACUGUGCGAAGGUAGCGUAAUAGGUCGUCCCUUAAUUAGGGGAAAGUAUGAAUGGUCGGAUGUUGGAAAGACUUUAUUAAAGAGAUAGGUCGAAUUUUACUUUCUAGUGCAAAGGCUAGAAUUUCGUUAUUAGACGAGAAGACCCUGUUGAGCUUGGUAAGGCUAGUUCUCUUGGAAUUAGAGCUAUGUUUGUUCGGGGCUGAAGGGAAGGGAGAUAAUGCCUUCUAUGUUAUAGAAAAGAUCCAAUUUGAUUGAUUGGUGGAAGAUAGUUACCACAGGGAUAACAGCGCAAUCAUUCUGAUAAGGCCAUAUUUAAGGAGUGGUUUGCGACCUCGAUGUUGAAUCAAAAUUUCUACUAGGUGUAGCAGCUUAGUAAGUGGGACUGUUCGUCCUUUAAAAUUUUACG
rnacentral:rRNA from 1 species